CACGUAGGGCGCAAGCGUUGUCCGGAAUUAUUGGGCGUAAAGCGUCCGCAGGUGGCACUUCAAGUCUGCUGUCAAAGACCGGGGCUUAACCCUGGAAAGGCAGUGGAAACUGAAGCGCUAGAGUGUGGCAGGGGUAGAGGGAAUUCCUGGUGUAGCGGUGAAAUGCGUAGAGAUCAGGAAGAACACCGGUGGCGAAAGCGCUCUGCUGGACCUUAACUGACACUGAGGGACGAAAGCUAGGGGAGCGAAUGGG
rnacentral:rRNA from 1 species